GGAAGAUGCGCCCAUAACGAUGUCGUACUGGCUUAAAAAUUGCGCCUGGGGCAGAUACAGCCAUAUAGAGGGGUUCUGGAGAUAUCCCCGCUACGCUGGGGACUAUCCGUGGGAAGGCACCAAAGGCAGGCAGUCGGCCCGCAGAAGUAAAUCAUCCGGUCCGAUGACGUCACGUGAGUCACGUGACCGACGGUCAACAUCAGAAGAUGAGAGGGGCAAAGGAUAUCGUAAAGUGACGUCACGCCCACGGUAUGCAUCUUCAGAUGCAGAGAGCAGCAGAGAAAAAAGACAAG